rnacentral:rRNA from 1 species
UAUAAUAAAUAGAAAUUUUUUAUAGGCAUUUGACGGAUACCUGGCUAAUUAAAAUGAAAAGGGCGUUUAAUACGAAAUAUAAAUGUAAAAUAAUAAUAAUUUUUUAAUGUUUAUAAACCCUAAGGGAAAACCUACAUAUAUAAUAUGUAUAUAAAAUAUAGUGAAUUGAAUCAUCUUAGUAGCUAUAAAAAAAAAUAAAAAUGAUUUUAUUAGUAGUGGCGAACGAAUAUAAAAUAACUAAAAUAAACUUUAUUUAAUAUUAAUUUAAGAAUAAUUUGGAAAAAUUAACUAUAUAAGUGAUAGUCUUGUAUUGAAUUAUUUAUUUAAAGAUUUUGAGUAAAACAAAUUUUAAUUUGUUUGAAGAAUAGGGAACCAUCCUUAAAAGUUAAAAAAUUUUAAUUAAGCGAUAGUGAAAAAGUACUGUGAAGGAAAGGUGAAAAGUAAUUCUAAUAGGAUGUUGAAAAGAUCUUGAAAUCAAAUGCUUAAUAGCAGUCUAAGCAUAUUUUAAAUAUGUGCAGAUGUACCUUUUGCAUAAUGGGUCAGUGAGUUAAUUAAUUUAGCAAAAUAUAAAUAUUUUAAAUAAUAUAAGGUUAUAAAUAAUCUGUUUAAAGUUAAGUUAAUUAGACCCGAAACCAAGUGAUCUAGCCAUGAGCAGGUUGAAGUUAAUUAAAAGUUAAUGGAGGACCGAACCCGUUUAUGUGGAAAUAUAUUGGGAUGACUUGUGGUUAGGGGUGAAAGGCUAAUCAAACUUGGAGAUAGCUGGUUUUCUACGAAAUUUAUUUAAGUAAAGCUUAAUCUAAAUGUUUAUUAAAGGUAGAGUACUACAAUGAAACCCUAAGGUUCAGGUAAACUUCGAAUAUUAAUAAAUUUAGGAUUAAAGACAGAUAGUUGGCGAUAAGGUUAAUUAUCAAGAGGGAAAGAGCCCAGAUUAUAAGUUAAGGUUUCUAAAUUAUAAUUAAGUUAAGAAGAAUAUUUUAUUACUAAAACAAAUUGGAGGUAAGCUUAGAAGCAGCAAUCCUUUAAAGAAAGCGUAACAGCUCACAAUUUAUAGUAAUCUUAAUUCAAAAAUGUAAAGAAAAUUAAAUUAUAUACCGAAGCUAUAAAAUUUUUUUAAAAAACAAAUUGGUAGUAGAACGCUUUAUAGUAUUUUAAUAAUGAUUGAGAAAUCAAAAAAUUAAAGUUGAAUAUACUGGCAUAAGUAGCGAAAGUAAUGUUUUAGAAACAUUACCAUCUAAAUAUCUAAGGUUUCUGAUGUAAAGAUAAACUGCAUUAGGUUAAUCGGCCCCUAAAAUGAAUAUGACAAUAAUAAUUGAUGGGAAAAUAAAUUAAUAUUUUUAUUUUAUUAUUAAUAGGUGACAAAUGAUUAAAUUUAGAAAUACAAAUGCAUUAUGUAUUUCUAUUAUAAUCAUUUCUGGAAAUAGCAUUAAUAAAAUUUUUUUAGGAAAACCGUACUAAAACCAACACAGGUAGAUUAGUAGAGUAUACUAAGAUGGUUAAUAUAAUAAUACCGAAGGAACUCGGCAAAAUAACUCUGUAACUUCGGGAGAAAGAGUACUUUUUUUAAUGAAAUAAAGUUAAAAUAAAGUGUAACAGAAUAGGAGAUGGCGACUGUUUAUCAAAAACAUAGGACUUUGCUAAAUUUUUUAAUGAUGUAUAAGGUCUGACGCCUGCCCAGUGCUAUAAAGGUAAUAGAGAUUGUUUAAAUUUUUUUAAGCUUUUGAUUGAAUUAGUAGUAAACGGCAGCUGUAAAUAUAACGGUUCUAAGGUAGCGAAAUUCCUUGUCGAGUAAGUUUCGACCUUGCAUGAAUGGCGUAACGACUAUCUCACUGUCUCCGGUAUUAUAUUAGCGAAAUUGAAUUUUCUGUGCAGAUGCAGAGUAUUAGCGGCUAGACGAAAAGACCCUAUGCACCUUUACUGCAUUUAUACUUUGUUUAUUUAUUUUGAAUUUAUAGGAUAUAAAAUAAUCGUUUGUAAUUUUUAAUUGCAUGAAAAUCUUAUUAUAUAUAAAUAAUAAUUAUUUAGGUGAUCUUGGAAUAAUUUAAUUUCAAAAUAAAAAACUUAAUAUUUAAGAUAUAGUAUAUUUGGUAGUUUCUCUGGGGCGGAGACCUCAUAAAAAGUAACUGAGGUGUACAAAGGCAAUUAAAACUUUUUAAGUUAGGGCGUGUAAUGGCUAAAAAUUGCUUAACUGUAAGACUAACAAGUCAAACAGAGAUUAUUUUAAAAGUCGGUCAUAGUGAUCCAAUAUUUUUUAAUGGAAAAAAUAUUGCUCAACGGAUAAAAGGUACGCUAGGGAUAACAGGCUUAUGACUCCUGAGAGAAGAUAUCGACGGGGUCGUUUGGCACCUCGAUGUCGAUUGGUCACAUCCUGGUUAGGAAGAAUGUUCCAAGGGUAAGGCUGUUCGCCUUUUAAAGUGGCACCUGAAUUGGGUUCAGAACGUCGUGAGACAGUUCGGUUUCUAUCUACCGUUAACGUAUUAAAAUUGAAGGGAUCUAAUCCUAGUACGAAAGGACUGGAAAAGGAAUAUCACUGGUGUAUUGGUUGUAAUGGCAAUUGCAUCGCCAAGUAGCUAAAUAUUAAUAAUAUAAUUAUUGAAAUCAACUCAAAUAAGAAGAUAACCCUAAGAAAAUUUUAAGAUGGUUAACUGUGAAAGAUUAUCACUUUGUUAAGUAAUAUAUAGAAGCUUUGUGAAAAGUUUAGUUGAAUUACAUUAAUUGUUAACCCAAAAUUUCUAUUUAUUUAUAUAAUAUUUUUUAA